rnacentral:ncRNA from 1 species
ACUGUAGCCUGAUAUUGGGUUUCGGUGUUGCAUGCACAGGAUAGAUGGGACGCUGGGAAACUGAGGCUUUGGCCUUAGCGGAGCGGACGUUGGGAUACCAUCCUUGCGACAUUGGAAUUCUAACCUGCGCCCUUGAAUCAGGGCGGGGGACAUUGUCAGGUGGGCAGUUUGACUGGGGCGGUCGCCUCCUAAAAUGUAGCGGAGGCGUUCAAAGGUUCGUUCGAUCUGGACGGAAACCAGAUGAAAGAGUGCAAACGCAUAAGCGAGCCUGACUGCGAGACUGACGGGUCGAGCAGAGACGAAAGUCGNNNNNNNNNNNNN